CAGACAUCAACAGCACUGUGAAUGGAAGUGUGUACACAUGUACGGUUAACAAUAGUGCUAUACCACGUUCUACAACAAUACAGUUCACGCUGACUGUCAACCCUAAAAGUACAUAUGAUCCAGAACGCAUAUCUGCCUUAAGUGCAGGUGCUAUAUCGGGAAUUGUGAUCGCUGUUGUUUUGGCUCUUGCUAUUCCUACUGCGUGGAUUCUUUAUAAGAGGAAAAUAAAGAAGAACAAUGAAGAUGUGCAGAACGAAUCUAAUAAUUAACGAAAACCAAAAUCAAGUUCACAACCCUACAUGUUUCCGUAAUUAGUACUUGAAUAAUUUUCGUUUUCAAUUCGUAUGAAACUGAGUGUUCUAGUCU